rnacentral:rRNA from 1 species
GCUCCGGCCGCCAAAGGACCUCCAAACUCCAGUCAGUAAACGCAGACGUCUGAUAAACAAGUUAAUAAACUAAAACUUUCAACAACGGAUCUCUUGGUUCUGGCAUCGAUGAAGAACGCAGCGAAAUGCGAUAAGUAAUGUGAAUUGCAGAAUUCAGUGAAUCAUCGAAUCUUUGAACGCACAUUGCGCCCCUUGGUAUUCCGGGGGGCAUGCCUGUUCGAGCGUCAUUACAACCCUCAAGCUCUGCUUGGAAUUGGGCACCGUCCUCACUGCGGACGCGCCUCAAAGACCUCGGCGGUGGCUGUUCAGCCCUCAAGCGUAGUAGAAUACACCUCGCUUUGGAGUGGUUGGCGUCGCCCGCCGGACGAACCUUCUGAACUUUUCUCAAGGUUGACCUCGGAUCAGG